GACGAACGCUGGCGGCGCGCCUAACACAUGCCAGUCGAACGAGCGAGCGAGAGCUUGCUUUCUCAAGCGAGUGGCGAACGGGUGAGUAACGCGUGAGGAACCUGCCUCAAAGAGGGGGACAACAGUUGGAAACGACUGCUAAUACCGCAUAAGCCCACAGGUCGGCAUCGACCAGAGGGAAAAGGAGCAAUCCGCUUUGAGAUGGCCUCGCGUCCGAUUAGCUAGUUGGUGAGGUAACGGCCCACCAAGGCAACGAUCGGUAGCCGGACUGAGAGUUUGAACGGCCACAUUGGGACUGAGACACGGCCCAGACUCCUACGGGAGGCAGCAGUGGGGAAUAUUGCACAAUGGGGGAAACCCUGAUGCAGCGACGCCGCGUGGAGGAAGAAGGUCUUCGGAUUGUAAACUCCUGUUGUUGAGGAAGAUAAUGACGGUACUCAACAAGGAAGUGACGGCUAACUACGUG
rnacentral:rRNA from 1 species